rnacentral:sRNA from 1 species
AAAAGAACUUUGGAGAGAGAGUCAAACAGUACGUGAAACCGUCAGGAGGGAAACGAACGAGGUUGGUGCAGUGAUCACGCAGGUUCAAGCACUGCCAAAGGUGCCGAUGUGGUGACAGAGAUCGUCCCAUGUCGUCAGCCCGAGGCAGUGCCGUACUCCUCGUGAACGCGGACCAGCAGCGGUUGGACUGGAACCAAAAGGCAGCACGGGAAGGUGAGUUGAUGUGAGCCUGUCUUUUGCAUUGACAGCUUAUAGCCCUGCUGUAUUGUGCUCCGGUGCGACCGAGGAAGUGGGCAGCCCUUGCCCGUUGUGGUACACGCCGAAUGGCGGGGCCUCCCAACACGAGUUAACUGUGCAGUGUGGACUGCAUGCAGUGCUCACUGUUGCGGUGAUCUCGUGGUGGAGAGUGCCACUUGUGUGCCAGUGCUGCUGGUAUUCAGAUGGCCUCGUCCGACCCGUCUUG